rnacentral:rRNA from 1 species
GAAUAUGAUUUUAGGUCUAACCUGCCCGCUGAUUUAUUGAAUGGCCGCGGUAUAUUAACCGUGCAAAGGUAGCAUAGUCAUUAGUUUCUUAAAUGGAAGCUUGUAUGAAUGGUUUGAUGAGAAAGUAGCUGUCUCUGAUUAAGUUUAUUAAAAUUUUAUUUUUAAGCGAAAAAGCUUAGAUUUUUAUUGAAGACGAGAAGACCCUAUAGAGUUUUAUAAAAUUUAGGCUAUUUAAGUUUAAGGUAUAUAGGUUUGAGUUGUUAUUAUUUAUUUUAUUUUGUUGGGGUGACGGAAAAAUUGAUAUAACUUUUUCUUUAUUUGAAUAUUAAUAUGUAGGUGUGUGAUCCUGUGAUGGAGAUUAAAAGAAUAAAUUACCUUAGGGAUAACAGCGUAAUUUUUUUUAGAGUUCUUAUCGAAAGAAAAGAUUGCGACCUCGAUGUUGGAUUAAAAUUUAAUGUUGGUGUAGAAGCUGGUAUAUUUAGGUCUGUUCGACCUUUGAAAUUUUACAUGAUCUGAGUUUAAACCGGCGUGAGCCAGGU